rnacentral:rRNA from 1 species
UACGUAGGUGGCAAGCGUUGUCCGGAAUUAUUGGGCGUAAAGCGCGCGCAGGCGGUUUCUUAAGUCUGAUGUGAAAGCCCACGGCUCAACCGUGGAGGGUCAUUGGAAACUGGGAAACUUGAGUGCAGAAGAGGAAAGUGGAAUUCCACGUGUAGCGGUGAAAUUGCGUAGAGAUGUGGAGGAACACCAGUGGCGAAGGCGACUUUCUGGUCUGUAACUGACGCUGAGGCGCGAAAGCAUGGGGAGCGAACAGG